rnacentral:rRNA from 1 species
UCAAGCGACUAAGUGUAUGUGGUGGAUGCCUUGGCGAUCACAGGCGAUGAAGGACGUGACAGCCUGCGAAAAGCUGUGGGGAGCUGGCAAAUAAGCUUUGAUCCACAGAUGUCCGAAUGAGGGAACUCACCUGCUUUGCAGGUAUCCCAUCCUGAAUAUAUAGGGAUGGGAGGCGAACGAAGCGAACUGAAACAUCUAAGUAGCUUCAGGAAAAGAAAUCAACCGAGAUUCCGAAAGUAGCGGCGAGCGAAAUCGGAUCAGCCCAGCACUCGAUAGCAGCCAACUUACGGGAACGGUCUGGAAAGUCCGGCCAUAGAGGGUGAUAGCCCCUUACUGGAAAAGGCAGCUGUGGUACUAAGUGUGCGAUAAGUAGAGCGGGACACGUGACAUCCUGCUCGAAGAUGGGGGGACCAUCCUCCAAGGCUAAAUACUCGUGAUCGACCGAUAGCGUACCAGUACUGUGAAGGAAAGGUUAAAAGAACCCCGGGAGGGGAGUGAAAUAGAUCCUGAAACCGCAUACAUACAAACAGUAGGAGCCUCGUUAAGGGGUGACUGCGUACCUUUUGCAUAAUGGGUCAGCGACUUACGUUUAAUGGCGAGCUUAACCGUAUAGGGGAGGCGCAGCGAAAGCGAGUUCGAACAGAGCGUUCAGUCGUUAGGCGUAGACCCGAAACCAGAUGAUCUAUCCAUGGCCAGGUUGAAGGUGUGGUAACACACACUGGAGGACCGAACCGACUAGUGUUGCAAAAUUAGCGGAUGAGCUGUGGAUAGGGGUGAAAGGCUAAACAAAUCUGGAGAUAGCUGGUUCUCCCCGAAAACUAUUGAGGUAGUGCCUCGUGUAUGACUCCAGGGGGUAGAGCACUGUUAUGGCUAGGGGGACAUGGCGUCUUACCAAACCAUGGCAAACUCCGAAUACUUGGAAGUUUGAGCACGGGAGACAGAGCACCGGGUGCUAACGUCCGGACUCAAGAGGGAAACAACCCAGACCGCCGGCUAAGGUCCCUAAUAUUGACUAAGUGGAAAACGAAGUGGAAAGGCUAAGACAGUCAGGAAGUUGGCUUAGAAGCAGCCAUCCUUCAAAGAAAGCGUAAUAGCUCACUGAUCGAGUCUUUCUGCGCGGAAGAUGUAACGGGGCUAAGUCAAUAACCGAAGCCGCGGAUUCACACUUAUGUGUGAGUGGUAGGGGAGCGUUCUGUAAGCCUGCGAAGGUGACUCGUAAGGGUUGCUGGAGGUAUCAGAAGUGCGAAUGCUGACAUGAGUAACGUUAAAGCGGGUGAAAAGCCCGCUCGCCGUAAGCCCAAGGUUUCCUGCUCUACGUUCAUCGGAGCAGGGUGAGUCGGCCCCUAAGGUGAGGCUGAGAAGCGUAACUGAUGGGAACAAGGUUAAUAUUCCUUGACCACCGCUGAAUGCGAAGGGGGGACGGAGUAUUGAAGAUCAUCCGGGUGUUGGAUAUCCCGGUUUGCGAGCGUAGGAGGCUGACAGGCAAAUCCGUCAGCGAAUCUCCGAGGCAAAGCAUCGAGCUCUCUUUUGAGCGAAGUGAUUGGAUGUGCUUCCAGGAAAAGCCUCUAAGCUCCAGUUCAGCGGGACCGUACCGCAAACCGACACUGGUGGGCGAGCUGAAUAUGCUCAGGCGCUUGAGAGAACUCAGGAGAAGGAACUCGGCAAAUUGACACCGUAACUUCGGGAUAAGGUGUGCCUUUGUAGCGUGGAGGGAGAAACACCCCGAGCGCGAAGAGGUCUCAGAUAAUCGGUGGCUGCGACUGUUUAUUAAAAACACAGCACUCUGCAAAGACGAAAGUCGACGUAUAGGGUGUGAUGCCUGCCCGGUGCUGGAAGAUUAAUUGAUGGGGUGCAAGCUCCUGAUCGAAGUCCCAGUAAACGGCGGCCGUAACUAUAACGGUCCUAAGGUAGCGAAAUUCCUUGUCGGGCAAGUUCCGACCUGCACGAAUGGCAUAACGAUGGCCACACUGUCUCCUCCUGAGACUCAGUGAAGUUGAAGUGUUUGUGAUGAUGCAAUCUCCCCGCGGCUAGACGGAAAGACCCCAUGAACCUUUACUGUAGCUUUGCAUUGGACUUUGAACCGAUCUGUGUAGGAUAGGCGGGAGCCUGUGAAACCACAACGCCAGUUGUGG